rnacentral:rRNA from 1 species
CACGUAGGGUGCGAGCGUUGUCCGGAAUUAUUGGGCGUAAAGAGCUCGUAGGCGGUGUGUCGCGUCGGCCGUGAAAACCUGCAGCUUAACUGUGGGCGUGCGGUCGAUACGGGCAUCACUGGAGUUCGGCAGGGGAGACUGGAAUUCCUGGUGUAGCGGUGAAAUGCGCAGAUAUCAGGAGGAACACCGGUGGCGAAGGCGGUUCUCUGGGCCUUACCUGACACUGAGGAGCGAAAGCGUGGGGAGCGAACAGG